rnacentral:rRNA from 1 species
UACGUAGGGUGCGAGCGUUGUCCGGAAUCACUGGGCGUAAAGCGCACGUAGGCGGAUCUUUAAGUCGGGGGUGAAAUCCUGGAGCUCAACUCCAGAACUGCCUUCGAUACUGAAGAUCUCGAGUCCGGGAGAGGUGAGCGGAACUGCGAGUGUAGAGGUGAAAUUCGUAGAUAUUCGCAAGAACACCAGUGGCGAAGGCGGCUCACUGGCCCGGUACUGACGCUGAGGUGCGAAAGCGUGGGGAGCAAACAGG